UACGUAGGGGGCAAGCGUUGUCCGGAAUCAUUGGGCGUAAAGAGCGUGUAGGCGGUCCGGUCAGUCGGUUGUGAAAGUCAAGGGCUCAACCCUUGAAUGCCGGCCGAUACUGCCGGGCUAGAGUCCGGAAGAGGUGAGUGGAAUUCCUGGUGUAGCGGUGAAAUGCGCAGAUAUCAGGAGGAACACCGAUGGCGAAGGCAGCUCACUGGGACGGUACUGACGCUGAGACGCGAAAGCUAGGGGAGCAAACGGG
rnacentral:rRNA from 1 species